rnacentral:lncRNA from 1 species
AGCGGGGAGCAAGGCCUGCGGGGAGGCGCAGGAUGGACGCGUUGGCUGUCAUGAUGUAGGACCUCCUGACCUAGAACCAUGCCCGGCGCAGGGAGAACAACGAGCUUACGGACCGGGUGCGGGGGCUGCUGUGCGAGAAAGCCUACCUGCUGGCCCGGGAGCGUUCGCCGGCCCACCUGGUGGCUUUCCCUGGACGUUUAACGGCGACUCCGCCCGGCCUCCCGACUUUUUGAUGCAGGCGUUCUCUUACAUGACUUUCUUCGAGGCUAGAUUCUCGAAAGACAUCCUGAAGGUGGCUUUCUUAAUUAGCUGCCUCACCGGCUGGCGGAGCAGUUCGUAGUCGCCUACAUCGAGAGGGAGAGCCCCGUCCUGGCUCAGUACUGGGGCUUCGUGGACGCGCUGUAGCGGGUCUUCGCCGUCGUGGGUAGGAAACAGUCGGGCCGGAUCCCCGGUGUCUGGGGAGCGGCUGCCGGCCGGGCCCGCGCGAGCCGCUUCACUCCUACAAGCCCGGCUCACUAGUUCCAAGCUGCUGGACUUUGACCCUCGCUGGGAAGCUUGAUCGCCGCCUGUUCUCGCCAAUCUCUAUGCCUUUGCACUGCCCAGCAACCCGGUCACUGCCCAGGACCUGUUAAAAGUUGAAUGGACCUCCCAGAAUCACGCCGCUGCCACCGCCGUUUCUAGAGACGGCUUUUGGCCACCUUUGAGAAUCAGGGUCAAACUUGGAAGGGCCUGCAUUUGUCACACUUCCUCGGACACUAAUUUGGAUAGUUCAGGCCCAGAGACGGCUUCCCGGGUUAGUGUGCCUGACAACACUGAAGAAAAAUUGUGACAUUUUCCUUCCCCAGAAUUACUUCGUUUUAUACAUUUCACUUCUCUUCUGAAAUCACAGCAAUGCCAGUUUGCGCCUUUUGGUCUGAGGAACGCAGGCCCUGGCCACUACCAGGAAAAAGUAUUUACUUUUAAAACUUGAAUGUAUAUCUUUACCGUAUGCCUAGUACAGUAGUGCUUGGAAGAAACAGAUUAGUAAGACAAAAUAUAUGUCUUCAAGAACACUUACGUUCUGAGAAAGAAUUCUGAAUGCAGAUUCUAAUGUCUGAUCCUUUGCACAUGGCCUGCUAUCAACAAUCCUCUACAAUGAUUCUCAGCAUCACCUAGGGAGCUUAUGUAAAAUCUCAAAUUCCUGGGCCCUAUCCCCAGAGUUUCUUAUCAAGUAAGUCUGCAUUGGGAUCUGAGGAUUUGCAUCUCUAACAAAAAUUCCUAGGCGAUGCUCACACUGUUGGUGUAAGGUUUCCUUGAUGGAGAACUAUCAAAGCAGUCAAAGCUAUCAAAAUAAAAAAGAAUUCUGAUUGGGUGCAGUGGCUCACACCUGUCAUUCCAGCACUUUGAGAGGCCAAGGUGGGCAGAUCACAUGAGGCCAGGAGUUCAAGACCAGCCUGGCCAACAUGGCAGAAACCCCAUCUCUACUAAAAAUACCAAAAUUAGCCGGGCAUGGUGGAACACACCUGCAAUCCCAGCUACUCGGGAGGCUGAGGCAAGAGAAUCGCUUGAACCUGGGAGGCAGAAGUUGCAGUGAAACAAGUUGGUGCCAAUGCAUUCCAGCCUGGAUGAUGGAGCGAGACUCUGUCUCAAGAAAAAAAAAACAAAAACAAAAACAGAACUCUGCCUCAUAGCGUCUUUUAAGUUAUACACUGGACCUAUCCUUUCCUCACUGACAGACAUUUUAAAAAUUUUUUGGUAAGGCCUAGUUCAUAUAAAAUGUAAUCCAAGCCAAAAGUUAACAAGAAUAAGGGGAGGAAAGGGGACUCCAAUAGCAGAGAAAGGUAUUUACCUGGGAUAUACACUGCAAGAAAAUCAAAGCUAUAAGAAACGUCCAUGAAUAGUAGCCAUAAGGCAUCAGAGUGAUAAAAUUCCUGUCCCUAGGAGGGAAUAUUGGAGUUUGCCAGAGAAACAGAAUGAGAGAGACAGAGAGGUUUAUUGUAGGAAUUGGCUCAUAUGAUUACGGAGGCUGAGAAGACCCACGAUCUGCCAUCUGCAAGCUGGAGAAUCAGGAAAGCUGGAGGUGUAAUUCAGUCAAGUCCAAUGGCCAGAGAAGCAAGUGUACUGAUAUCCAAGAGCAGGAGAAAAUAGAUGUCCCAGAACAAGCAGAGAGGCUGAUUUUGUCCUUCCUCUGCCUUUUUGUUUCAUAUGGGGCACUGAAUGGACUGAUGCCCAUCCACAUUAGUGAGGGUGGAUCUUCUUUACUCAGUCUACCAGUAGAAAUGUCAAUGACUUCCAGAAACACCCUCACCAACACACGUGGAAAUAAUGUUUUACCAGGUAUCUGGGCAUCCCUUGGUUCACUCAAGUUGACACAAAAUUAACCAUCACAGAAGGAGACUGGCCUUACUCUGAAAUUAGGAAACUAAAGAAGUGACCAGAAUGGAGACUAGGUAGAGACAACUAGUUCUCUACCAAACAUGUACAGUUAUUCGUUGGUAUCUGAAGGGGAUUGGUUCCAGGAACUCUCAGGGAUACCAAAAUCUGCAGGUGCUCAAGUCAUUUAUAUAAAAUAUUACAGUAUUUGCAUAUAACCUUUGCACAUCUUCCAUAUACUUUAAAUCAUCUCUACAUUACUUAUAAUAAUGAAUGUGUAAAUGCUAUGAAAAUAGUUACUACACUAUUGUUUAUUUGUAUUUUUAUUGAAUUGUUUUGGGGUGGGGGGCAGCUGUAUCUUUCUUAGUAAUAGAACCCCUGGUUUUAGCUGGGCACAUGACUGCCCUCAAUAAAGAUUAAAGUACCCCAGCCUUCCUUGAGAUUGUGGCCAUGUGACUGAACUUUAGACAGUGAGAUAUAAGCAGAUAUCUUCUGUGGCAGUGUUAGGAAACUAUUAAAGACAGUAAGAACAUUGCCCUUUGCCUUCUUUUUCCUUUCUUCAUUUUUCUGCCUGGAAUGCAAAUGUGAUGGCUAACACCCUAGCAGCCAUUUUAGAUUAUGAAGAUGAGAGUCACUCCCCAGGAAGGGUGGACCUGAAAGCUGGAUUCUAGAUGUGGAAUGACAAUACCAGCCCUGGACUACCUACCUGUAGGCUGUGUGUGUGUGUGUGUGAUUGACAGAGAGAGAGAGAGAUAGAUACCACAAGUAACACAAAGCAUCAUACCUGGGACUGGGAAGGUUAAUGUUUAAACAUUUUAAAUGUGGCAUUGGUUUGUUGAAGACAGUCAAGCAGUAGGUGCUGCAGGCUUUGUUGAGGCUAGAAAGCUGUUGGUCUUUAUUAGGUGAUGGCAAAACAAUGGAUCACAUUUUCAUGUGCUGUGUCUUGGGAGGCAAAUGAUGAGAAUGUAGGAUUGGGGAAAAUGGUAAGGAAAAUCCAAAAUGUUCAUGUUUUCUAACCCCUUCUUGCCAAUCUUAAAAGAAGGACAAACAGGCUAGAUUAAGCAAGUCUACAGUUACAAUUGGAAGGAAACACAGCCGUACUAAGGAAGUACUCUGUCUGUGGCCUGCAGUCUAGUUUGACUAGGUCCUGUAUUUGAGCUUUGAAAGAGUAAAGAAUACAAGUGCUCGUAUACCCCUGAAGUAGUUACCAGCAGUGACUGCAAGGAGGUAAUCUUAUGGGAUGAAACUAUAACUCUGUAUUAACCAUCAUAUAUAGCAUAUAUGUGUAUAUGUAUGUGUGUGUGUGUAUAUGUGUAUAUAAAUAUAUGUGUGUGUAUAUACACACAUGUACACACCCUACAACCCAGUGAUUUCAAAAAAUUAAACAUUUGUUUAGCUCAUGAAUCUGUGGGUUGGGUGAACAUUUCUAUUGGUCUUGGCUGGGCUCACCUGUACCCAGUCAGCUGCAGGGUCUAGCUCUUCUUAUCUUGGCUGGGAUCUCACACAUGUCUAGGAUCAGCUGCUUUACUAGUCUAGGAUUGUCUUGGCUGAGACAGGUGGACUACUCAGUUCUCCUCCACUGCCUUAUCCUUCAGCUGGCCAGCCCAGAAAUGUUGCCAUGUUUACAGCAUAAGAGCAAGCAAGAAAGAAUAAUAUGCAACCACUUUUCCAAGCCUAAGGUGAAAGGGCGGGCAGAACCUGUGGUGUUAGGAGGCAACUCAUACCAGCCCAUGGGUCUACCGUUUAAUUUUCAGAAAUUUGGCAAGCUGAUUGUUAACACAGCUGUUGUUUAAUUUAUGUACUUGUAAUUAAAUAAUUUACAUUAAAACAAAGAUAAUAGGUACUCAAA